AACGAACGCUGGCGGUGUGCCUAACACAUGCAAGUCGAGCGAGAAAGUCUCCGCAAGGGGGCGAGUAAAGCGGCGCACGGGUGAGUAACACGUGGGUAACCUGCCUGGAAGUCCGGAACAACCUUCCGAAAGGAGGGCUAAUACCGGAUAAGACCACGGGGACUUUGGUCCCUGAGGUAAAAAGACGGCCUCUGUACACAAGCUGUCACCUCCAGAGGGGCCCGCGGCCCAUCAGCUAGUUGGCGGGGUAACGGCCCACCAAGGCAACGACGGGUAGCUGGUGUGAGAGGACGAUGAGCCACACUGGAACUGAGACACGGUCCAGACGCCUACGGGAGGCAGCAGUGGGGAAUUUUGCGCAAUGGGCGAAAGCCUGACGCAGCAACGCCGCGUGAGUGAUGAAGGUCUUCGGAUCGUAAAGCUCUUUCGGCCGGGACGAAAACGUCGGAGCGAACAGCUCCGGCCUUGACGGUACCGGAAGAAGAAGCACCGGCUAACUCUGUGCCAGCCGCCGCAGUAAAAC
rnacentral:rRNA from 1 species